AGUCGAGGGGUAUUGGUUUUCGGACCAGAGACCGGCGCACGGGUGCGUAACGCGUAUGCAAUCUACCUUUUACAGAGGGAUAGCCCAGAGAAAUUUGGAUUAAUACCUCAUAGUAUUAUUUACUGGCAUCAUUAAAUAAUUAAAGUUCCAACGGUAAAAGAUGAGCAUGCGUCCCAUUAGCUAGAUGGUAAGGUAACGGCUUACCAUGGCGACGAUGGGUAGGGGUCCUGAGAGGGAGAUCCCCCACACUGGUACUGAGACACGGACCAGACUCCUACGGGAGGCAGCAGUGAGGAAUAUUGGUCAAUGGGCGCAAGCCUGAACCAGCCAUGCCGCGUGCAGGAUGAAGCAUCUAUGGUGUGUAAACUGCUUUUGUACGAGAAGAAACACUCCUACGUGUAGGAGCUUGACGGUAUCGUAAGAAUAAGGACCGGCUAACUCCGUGCCAGCAGCCGCGGUAAUACGGAGGGUCCAAGCGUUAUCCGGAAUCAUUGGGUUUAAAGGGUCCGUAGGCGGUUUUGUAAGUCAGUGGUGAAAGCCCAUCGCUCAACGGUGGAACGGCCAUUGAUACUGCAAAACUUGAAUUAUUGGGAAGUAACUAGAAUAUGUAGUGUAGCGGUGAAAUGCUUAGAUAUUACAUGGAAUACCAAUUGCGAAGGCAGGUUACUAUCAAUAUAUUGACGCUGAUGGACGAAAGCGUGGGGAGCGAACAGGAUU
rnacentral:rRNA from 1 species